rnacentral:lncRNA from 12 species
CUGAGAUUGUUUUGCCCAUUUGCUAAAAAUGACUAUCUCUACCACUUGGUUAAUUAUGUGAUUACAGCACCCAGUGACAAGGAGAAAAUUAAAAAUCCAUGCUGCAUUUUCUAUAACACUUUAUAGCUCUAUGCAAAAGAGGGCAAAUGCAAUUUAGCUGAGCUGUGGUGAACAAGAGCUGUUUCCUUUCCCUCGUUUCAGCCCCUCCCUCAUCUUCCCCUGGAGAGAAGCUGUGUUAGCAGUUGACUAAAGCAGGGAAGAGAGCAGGUGUGGACGAAAACAUAAAUUGCCAUUAUCCCUGACAAUCCUGGACAGUGCCACCCACAGAGAAGGCGCUCAGCCAGAUUUCCCCCUCCUAAUUUCAAUAAAGGCCAACAAGUUCUUCAAACCGGACUCUCUCAUCUGGAAAACUGGAAUGAAGUCCCCCACCCCAUCUCCUUGAGAAUUAUCAAAAGGCAGUUUAGGACCGAGGAACCAAAUGAAGAACAGACAUCAACGUUAUUGACAGCAUCUCUACCUUCUUCAACAGAUGUUUGUGGAUGCAAAGAUUCAUGGAGGAUACAAAGGUGAAGAAAAGCUGGGCACAGAGGCAGUUUAUGGUUUGUGGGUGGAGGUGGCAUCCAUGGUCACAAUAAUACUAACAUAAUUAAUAUAAUUAUAUUAUACAUAUAUACAUAUAAUACACAGUUAUGCAUGAAUAAUAAUACUAUUAACACAAUGCUAUUAAUAUUAAUAAUACUACUAUAAGGUGGAAUGGGAUAGAUGUGGUAACUGAGGUAGAAAAAGCAUGGUGAAUAGAAGAAGAGACAAUUUCAGCAUACUAGUGGCUUUGAGUCUUGAAUUAUGAUUUCAAAAAUGUAGAAAUGAAGGAAGUGGCCAAUGGAACAUGUUAGCAAACAGUAGAUUGUGCUUAAGAGGUGACGUACUAUCCAGUUUGACUCCAGGGUGUUUGGG